AUACGGAGGGUGCAAGCGUUACUCGGAAUCACUGGGCGUAAAGCGCGCGCAGGCGGCUUGAUAAGUUGGAUGUGAAAGCCUACGGCUCAACCGUAGAACUGCAUCCAAAACUGUCAAGCUAGAGUGUGGGAGAGGAAGAUGGAAUUAGUUGUGUAGGGGUAAAAUCCGUAGAGAUAACUAGGAAUACCAAAAGCGAAGGCAAUCUUCUGGAACACUACUGACGCUGAGGCGCGAAAGCGUGGGGAGCAAACAGGAUUAGAAACCCUAGUAGUCC
rnacentral:rRNA from 1 species